rnacentral:rRNA from 1 species
AACGAACGCUGGCGGCAUGCCUAACACAUGCAAGUCGAACGAGACCUUCGGGUCUAGUGGCGCACGGGUGCGUAACGCGUGGGAACCUGCCCUUAGGUUCGGAAUAACUCCCCGAAAGGGGUGCUAAUACCGGAUAAUGUCUUCGGACCAAAGAUUUAUCGCCUUUGGAUGGGCCCGCGUUGGAUUAGCUAGUUGGUAGGGUAAAAGCCUACCAAGGCGACGAUCCAUAGCUGGUCAGAGAGGAUGAUCAGCCACACUGGGACUGAGACACGGCCCAGACUCCUACGGGAAGAAGCAGUGGGGAAUAUUGGACAAUGGGCGAAAGCCUGAUCCAGCAAUGCCGCGUGAGUGAUGAAGGCCUUAGGGUUGUAAAGCUCUUUUACCCGGGAUGAUAAUGACAGUACCGGGAGAAUAAGCUCCGGCUAACUCCGUG